rnacentral:rRNA from 1 species
UACGAAGGGGGCUAGCGUUGCUCGGAAUCACUGGGCGUAAAGGGUGCGUAGGCGGGUCUUUAAGUCAGGGGUGAAAUCCUGGAGCUCAACUCCAGAACUGCCUUUGAUACUGAAGAUCUUGAUUCCGGGAGAGGUGAGUGGAACUGCGAGUGUAGAGGUGAAAUUCGUAGAUAUUCGCAAGAACACCAGUGGCGAAGGCGGCUCACUGGCCCGGUACUGACGCUGAGGCACGAAAGCGUGGGGAGCAAACAGG